GAACGCGAAGAACCUUACCCGGGCUUGAACUAAGAGUGACAGAUUUAGAGAUAGAUUUUUCUUCGGACACUCUUGGAGGUGCUGCAUGGUUGUCGUCAGCUCGUGCCGUGAGGUGUCGGCUUAAGUGCCAUAACGAGCGCAACCCUUUUCCUUGGUUGCCAUCAGGUAAUGCUGGGCACUCCAGGGAUACUGCCAUCGUAAGAUGUGAGGAAGGUGGGGAUGACGUCAAAUCAGCACGGCCCUUACGUCCGGGGCUACACACGUGUUACAAUGGGGGGUACAGAAGGUCGCUACCUGGUGACAGGAUGCUAAUCUCCAAAACCUCUCUCAGUUCGGAUUGGAGCCUGCAACCCGACUCCAUGAAGCUGGAUUCGCUAGUAAUCGCGCAUCAGCCAUGGCGCGGUGAAUACGUUCCCGGGUCUUGUACACACC
rnacentral:rRNA from 1 species